CCUGUCAUCGUCUAGUGGUUAGGACACCAGGUUUUGAAACCCCGAGUGUGUCCUGGUAACCUGGGUUCGACUCCCAGUGACAGGU
rfam:Puccinia sorghi strain RO10H11247 Scaffold_768, whole genome shotgun sequence.